rnacentral:rRNA from 1 species
UACAGAGGUCUCAAGCGUUGUUCGGAUUCAUUGGGCGUAAAGGGUGUGUAGGUGGCGCGCUAAGUCGGGUGUGAAAUUUCGGAGCUUAACUCCGAAACUGCAUUCGAUACUGGCGUGCUUGAGGACUGGAGAGGAGACUGGAAUUUACGGUGUAGCGGUGAAAUGCGUAGAUAUCGUAAGGAAGACCAGUGGCGAAGGCGGGUCUCUGGACAGUUCCUGACGCUGAGGCACGAAAGCGUGGGGAGCAAACAGG